GGGGGCGACUGGUUUUGACAGCGGUCAAAACAGAUAAGCAAGCAUGCAGUGAACGGCCACAAAUCACUUUAAUCCAUGUGGUAAAGCUAUAACUGGCGAAAACAACUACGCUCUUGCUGCGUAAUCGAAGUACAGUAGAUUAGCGCUUUAUCCUUGCCAAAGUGGCAGGGACGAGACAUCACCCCGUUGCUGUGGUUCCGAAGCGUUCGGACAAGGUGGUGCAGAAAUAUCGGAAAUAGGAAAAGGAGCGCUCUGAUUCUUUUCUGAAGUUUUAAGAGAUAAGCGUCAAGUGGAUGGCUUCGGUUUUGCUUGACGACGAAAACCUAAGCGAAGAUAAGCAUGUAGAAACCUUAUAGGUUUUCCGUUUGGACGAGGGUUCGAUCCCCUCC
rnacentral:tmRNA from 1 species